AUUGAACGCUGGCGGCAGGCCUAACACAUGCAAGUCGAACGAGCGGCGGACGGGCGAGUAAUGUCUGGGCAACUGCCUGAUGGAGGGGGAUAACUACUGGAAACGGUAGCUAAUACUGCAUACCAUCAGAUGUGCCCACACGGAAUUAGCUUCUUGGUGAGGUAACGGCUCACCAAGGCGACGAUCCCUAGCUGGUCCGAGAGGUUGAUCAGCCACCCUGGGACUGAGACACGGACCAGACUCCUACGAGAGGCAGCAGUGGGGAAUAUUGCACAAUGGGCGCAAGCCUGAUGCAGCGAGGCCGCGUGUAUGAAGAAGGCCUUCGGAUGGUAAAGUCCUUUCAGUGGGGAGGCGUUACCGACAGAGGAAGCACCGGCUAACUCCGUGCCAGCAGCCGCGGUAAUUC
rnacentral:rRNA from 1 species